GGGCCCGUAGCUCAGCCAGGUAGAGCGGCGGGCUCUUAACCCGAAGGUCGCGGGUUCAAAUCCCGUCGGGCCCGCCA
rnacentral:tRNA from 1 species